GGGGGUGCCCCGGUUUCGACUGGUGCGAUUCGGGGUAAGGGUUGCAGGUGGAGUGUCGAUCUCCUGAUUCGGCAAAACUUUAACUGCCAACAACGACAGUUACGAUUACGCUUUAGCGGCAUAGUCGCGUGGAACCGUUCCGCCGCCUUGAGGGACGGAUUCCGCGUCGCAACCGAGGCUGGCCAAGCAUCUUUUUUCGGAGAGUGUGCGGUAAGAAAUAUCCGGAAUACGGAGGGGACGCCUGCUGCGCAGCCAAGCUCCUCCCGACAACCCAAUGUGCAGCUAAACCUGUAGACGCUUUUGCAACGCGUAUUAGGACGCGGGUUCGACUCCCGCCACCUCCA
rnacentral:tmRNA from 1 species